rnacentral:rRNA from 1 species
AUUGAACGCUGGCGGCAGGCCUAACACAUGCAAGUCGAGCGGCAGCGGGAAAGUAGCUUGCUACUUUUGCCGGCGAGCGGCGGACGGGUGAGUAAUGCCUGGGAAAUUGCCCAGUCGAGGGGGAUAACAGUUGGAAACGACUGCUAAUACCGCAUACGCCCUACGGGGGAAAGCAGGGGACCUUCGGGCCUGGCGCGAUUGGAAAUGCCCAGGUGGGAUUAGCUAGUUGGUGAGGUAAUGGCUCACCAAGGCGACGAUCCCUAGCUGGUCUGAGAGGAUGAUCAGCCACACUGGAACUGAGACACGGUCCAGACUCCUACGGGAGGCAGCAGUGGGGAAUAUUGCACAAUGGGGGAAACCCUGAUGCAGCCAUGCCGCGUGUGUGAAGAAGGCCUUCGGGUUGUAAAGCACUUUCAGCGAGGAGGAAAGGUUGAUGCCUAAUACGUAUCAACUGUGACGUUACUCGCAGAAGAAGCACCGGCUAACUCCGUGCCAGCCGCCGCCGUAACAC